UAAGUUUGGCCUGGCAGCAGCGUGUGGGCUGCAAGGCCAUGAGGGAGUCUGGGAUGUAGACUCUAGAGCUUAGAUUACCAGGCUGGAUCCAUCCUGACACCUGACUGGGUGAACUGAACCGGACAGGGAGCCUGGAACUUAAAGCUGCCUUGCUGUCCCAGAAAUGAAUUCCCUGGGCACAGCCCCAGCCCACCCAGCUGUGAAAUUGAGCUUUAUUACCUAUUUCCUCCCACUUCCUCUCCUGCCUCACACUGCACCAUUCUUGAGGUCGGUGUGUGUGGUGCAGAGUAGGGUACAGCCUCACCCCUCCAUCCUGACCUGGGACACCAUCAUCAGCUCUCUACUGUAUCAUCUCUCUUUCUUAUAGGCAUCUUUCUUUCAACAAGUGCUUCCAUGUUCUCCUUAAGUCUUCUCUAGUGGGCCCUUCUCCUUGAGCUUACUUCUAGCUGUUUAUCCAUCUGUUGACUGUCAGCUAUUAAUUAAUCACAUGCCCAGUAUGGCACAGGCUUGGUGCUAGGUGUUAGGGAGCCACUAUUCAGCCAUUAUUCAGUGGUCUGGCAGUCGAGAAGGGACUCAAGAGUGUGCCUAAGGGUGAUGAGCUUCUGAGAUGGGGGUUUCUCCCCGCUGGAGAUAACAGUAGGUGGAAAAGGACAAAUGGACACUCUUUCCUUUUCUUUGGACCCCACCAUGGUGUGGGGCUGUAAGCAGCCCCUCCUGAUGCUCUAGCUCUGGGUACAUAGUGCCUUGGCAUGGAAGGCACUGGAAAGAGUUGCUGACCCACUGUGUGUGAUUCUGAGGCUCAUGACAGGCAGAAUGUGAAAGAACUGGACACAAUUCAGACUGAUGGGAACUUUACUGAGUGACCAGAGAAAAGAUUGCUACAGCAGAAUCAGGCUGAUAUCCUGAAGUUCUGGAACUCAAGCUCUGGGGCAUCUGUGCUAAUGGCCCUCCUUGUCAUGGGAAGCUGAGGAAGCCUGUAAAUAUAGGUUGUCCCAGUAGAGAGCCACAUUAGGUUCAUGUAACACUGCACCACACUCAGAGCAGAGAUCUACUCUGUUUCCAUUUCCCCUCUUCCUCUACUCCAGAAUACUCAAAACUGCUAGCAAUAGAGCUGGGUGCCACCCACCUUCUAGAAAUAUCCAGCAACAGCAAAACCCUACAAGUUAUAGUCUGCAGGGGACCAAACCCCCUCUUUCUCUGGAGCAGGUACCAGCAAACUUUACACACCCAAAGGCAUUUAGCGGGUGUGACUGUUCUGGGGGCUUGUGGAUUCCUCCCAGUGCUCUCUCGUCUUGUCCCUAGCUCAUCCCAGUCUUCCAUCUUAAGUCAACAUCUAUUAAGCAAUGGCUCCAAGUCUAAGCCUUUAGACCCAACUGUCCCUCUCUAGUCUAACGUGCAUUUUAACUUGGCAGAGUUCUUCAUUGCACUUCCACACCCCAACCUCUUCCUCCCAAACUUCCUCCAAGCUACAGUUAGUAUCCCCACGGAACCAGUGGUUGAAGAUACAACUUCAGAAGAAUCCAUUCUUUCCCCCUCUAUCCUCCACAUCUAACUCAUCAACAGGUACCAUUUUCUCUGCCUCCAAAACAGUGUCCUGGACACUAGUACUGACUGCCCAUCACUACUUUUGCUUCUUUGAAUGACACUCCCACCACCCUCCUGGAACUCUUUAAGGCCACUAAACUCAUUUGCUUCCUUCCACUCUUCCCUGCUUAGAUCCACUCCAAAUAGCAUUGGGUACCAUGUUUCCAAAACACAUCAUCAGAUGACAUUGCUUCCAGUGACUUCUCAUCACAUCUAAAGACCAGUAUACUGAUGUGACCCUUUCUAUCCUGCUCUGUCUGCACCACCCUCCACUGGGCUGUCUACUCCUUCAACUUCCUUUAGCUCUUCCUCCCACUUCAAGUUCAGCCCAAGUGUACCCCAUUCAGAGAGGGCUUUGUGGGACCAAAUUCAAAUAGUUCCCUAGGACACCUCAUUGUUUUCUUCCUCAUUCCUUUGCUGCAAAGGUUUCCUUGGGCUGUUUAUUCCUUCUGCAAUGUUACCUGUUGUGUUAGAGGCAGCCUUCCUCCUAAGUCCUGUGCAUGUAUGUAUUCACUGCUCCUCCAGCAUUUAGAAGAGGGCUAGAGAAGCCUGUAGUUAAUAAAUACUUACUGAGUGGAUGAGUGCAUGCAAGCAUGGGAACAUGUUUUAAAAGUCAAGAAAGGCUGGGCGGCGGGUGGCACACCCCUUUAAUCCCAGCACUCGGGAGGGAGGCAGAGCCAGGCAGAUCUCUGUGAGUUCGAGGCUAGCUUGGUCUACAGAGCAAGAUCCAGGACAGGCACCAAAACUAUACAGAGAAACCCUGUCUCGAAAAAACCAAAAAAAUAAAAGUCAAGAAAGAUGGGACUAGAAGCCACGAAUUGUGGCCAACGUGGAUCUUUGUCUAAGAAGAGUUUCAUCUUAGUGUGGUCUAUAUGCUGUUCUUUUAUAAGUAGCCUCUGAGAGUCUUAGUCCAUCCUAUCAUAUGUGUACACCAUUAUCAUUUCCACUUUGCACAUGAAGUGGGACAGAUGGAAUGAAAUUGUUGGCUUAAGCCAGUAGUGGAUGGUGGAGAUGGGACCCAGGGAACUUUCUCUGAUGCGUUCAUGUGCUUCCUAUGAAUCUAAGGAAGUCAGGUUUGCCUCAUGCUAGUUUUGGGGGAUUCCAACUUCUGGUCUAGAGACGAAGAGCAUGGGGGAGCCCCAGCUUGUACAUUGUGUGAUUUUCUAGGGCUGGAGAACUUUGUAGAGGCCAUUCAGCAUGCCCCACAGGGGAGAGAAGGAGUCGAGGUCCAGUGAGGAAACUGUUAAAUGGCUAUUAUCUCUUCCCCAUAGAUGUGAGGCAGCCCACUGACUUGAGGACAGCAGGAGAGUCAAGUGGUCAUGGUUCUUGCAAACUUCCAUAGGGCUACACCAGCCAGCUAAGUACAGAUCCCAUGCACAGUGCACAUGUAUAAAUCUACCCUGAGGCUUGAUGGAGUUUUGGCUGCAAAUGGAUUAACAGUUGCAUGGACACCUACUCUUGGACCAUCUUAGUUCUGAAAGCUGCUUGUAGCUGGGGAUGAUGCCCAUGACCUUGGGUGGGGUCCUAGGUCAAAUUCAGGAGGCAGUACUUUGAGUAAUGCAAGCUUCCUCCGUGAUAGAUCUGUUUUCAGCUCUCUCUGCUGGAGUGAUUGAUUCCCCUGGAGCCUGUAUCCCUUUUCUUACUUAUCGAGUGUGUGUGAUGGAUUUUUGACAAGAUUGAUUUUGACCUGAAUACUGCUGAGCUAAAUGAAUCAACAUUGUCAAUUCCUCUGCCUGAUCCUGAAAAAUAGUUAUGUGGAUGAGGACAUUUUUCUUUCAAUUGAAGUGCUUUCUAGUUCUCCUGGUUGCCCAGCUGAAGGUCUCCCCCUGCCAGGGUCCACCAGCUGCCCUCCCAACACCUCCCUCUUGUAAUCAUGAUGCUCAGCCAUUUCCCUCUUUCCUCUUCGCUCCAGCAAGGCUCCUUCCCACAUCAGGCUUUCUCUCUGUGCCUGCCGGGCUAUGCUUCUCUCACAUGCUCCAGCCAGAAAUAUGAGCUGCAAAUUGGGCUUGGCUGUGUGAUGAGGAGAGAAAGAUUUUUUGUCUCAUCUCUCUUUCUCAUAGCACUGAUUCCUGAAUCGGCACAUUACUUAUUUUCCCCCAAACCUAGAAUAGUUGCAAUCUUUAAGGCGCAGCUGAUGUAUAGCCACGAGCGACUCAAAAUGGGACUUCACAUUCAUCUUUUCUUCUUUCCGAAUCUAAGCAAACGUUUUUCCGGAGCAGUUCUAUGGCCCUGCAGUUCUCCUGCGUCUCUCUGCCUCCUUUACAGUCAGUCUCACAGCUGGAUCUGCUGCCAGGCCCACCUGUGGCUCAGGCUUCCUGGGUCCUGGUGAGAGGGGGUGGGGUGAGCUGGGUAGAAGAGUCAAAUUGAGACAGGGGGCCAUUGAGGGAGAAUGGUUCCCCCUACAUGGGAGGAUCGUUUCCCUAUUGGUGGAGCUAUUUAUGAAUCUACAUAUAGUAAGUGAGUGUCAUGAUGACCGGCUAAGACAACCUCUAUUUGGUGCUUAUAAUCAUAAAAGGGGUCACUCAUUGGUCGCUUCAGACCCUUGGAACAAUUCUGCACAAAACCUUGUUAGAAACGUUUUACUGACAGGCUAGUUGGGGCUCGAGGAGGGUAACCUGCUCAGAGAUACCCACUGUCUAAGGGUCCAGGGACCAGGCUUGAGCUUUCUACAGUACCUUUUUCUCUGCCUCUAAGAUGAGCAAAAAGUGACAUCAUAUUCAGACGGGAAGGUGAAGGCAUGGCCACAGCUGGACUCCCCAAUAUGGUGGCCAACCUCCACCUGACUCAGUUAAGCCAAGACCAAGACUUCCUGGGAUGAGGCUGAGGCCCUUGUCCUUGCUUAUGGGGAUCCCCCGCUGAGCUUUGCUCCAGGUCUGUCUCUGGCUGCCUCUUCCAGCCCCUUGGCCCUGAAGACACAAUGCUGCUUCCCAGGCUCGGGGCCAGCUCCCAGCCUGUAUCUUGGCUUCAUCAGCCUGUAGCUUGUUCUCAACUUGCUCUCCAAGCUCAUUAUUCUCUAACAAAUAUUUUGACAAUAGCUUUAGCUCCCAAAGACCUUCUCUAACAUCUGCAGAGAGCUCUCUGUGAUCAGUGGUAUCCCCUUCAAGGGCAGGCUGGCCUUUGGCCCAGGGUCCAUGCCUCACAAAGGGUCCGGGGCUUGCCCACAGCUCAAGGGUGGGUCUGAAGCUCUCUGUGACACCAGAUUUCCACCUCUGACCAUCAUCUCUCUUCCCAUACAAACAACCUGUUGACAUCCACCGGAAUUUUAUUAGGGUUUUGCUCAUAUUAUUCCCAGGCUGGAGGUGCUUAAUUUGAUCUAAAGAGGCGCGGUUUCCUAAGUCCUCCCACUGCAGGCUAACGUGAGAAUCUUUACACAACAGACUAUUCUAGAAAAGCACAGCUACUGCUCAAAAGAAAAGCACAGUGAAAUGGGUAGCCCUGCGUGUUUACUUUUCGUAGACGGUCUCUGAGCUACUAGCAGGUCACAGACACUCAAGUUCCAGGAAGCUGAUGUCUGAGUGACCUGAGAGAGGACAGAGUCCUUCAGGCUGAACUCCUGGGUGUUUAGAGGUCAGCCUUCCCUUCCUGCUCCACCCCCCCACACACACUGCUUGCAAUUCAGGGAGGGCUGAGAGAGGGACAUGGAGGAGGGUGUUCCAGGGCUGUGAGGGGCAGGAAUGGUAGGGAUGGAAUGUCUGCAGCUGAGAACCAUAAAUCUGCAGGCUUUCAAAAGGACAAAGCCUUGUGCAGAAGAGCCAGUGGGGUGCUUGAGGAGGCUCAAGGCAUUCUCUCCUAGAGGGAAGGAGCUGGGGGUGGGGAGGGAUAGCAGAGACUGCCUGAGUGGAGAGGAGGCGGCUGGGUCCUAUCAGGUCCUGGGAUUUGGGUUUUUCCACUAGUGUUCAGAUCUGAUUUCUCUGCCUACUUUCUCAUCAACCGGCACCCACACGGGUCAAGGUCAGUGUAAGCUGCGGGGAAGGAGGCGGCAUUGCUGUGUGCGAGGAGGGGAAGACAGGACAAGAGGUGAGGCCUCCCUGUGAUAGCUAACAAGGUCUCAGGGAGAAAUCACAGAGACUCCAGACCCACAGGAACCAGGCAGGUCACAACCAGAACAUUCUCCUAUGGGUCUCAUGGGCUGAGGUUCGGGCCUGGGUCAGGUCCCUGCUGUGCCUGAAGGGGCCAGAGGGCUGUCUUGUCCCUGGGCCUUCUGUAGCCUGCCAGUCCUCACUCUGGGUGAUUUGAUUUGUGCUGUGAAGAGUACAAAUGCCCCCUGGGAUCAGAGUGGUUGAUUCUGGACUCCUUCCACUGGGUCAUUUUACUGACUGGCUAUUCAUCUGGGUCCAGUGAGGGAAGGGAGGGGGGAGGAAGAAGGCCUGGCUGCCAUUAACUCCUUCAUUGCUAGCAGGCCCUCUGCCUGCUUGUUGGAAGAGCUCGCUCCCAGUCCUUUGGAGUGCAUCCCACCCACUCCACCUUGACUUGGAUGUUUCUUGUGGUACUGGGUGUAUGGUCUCUCAGACAGGCACCUGGAGGGGCUGGGUCCCAUCUGAUUGGUCCUCCCAGUCUACUAAUGUAGUCGCAAGCAUCCAAGCCAUGGCCUCAGCCUCCUCACUGCCGUGCAUUCAUCUGACACAGAAUAGGCAGGUUAUAAAAAAGAAAGACAAAUGGUUCACAGAAAAAAAACCUCCCCGUGUCGGGAGAAGAAGCAGACAGAGACAAAUAGGAGGAGCUCCCUUCCAAGCUCUCUAGCACUUCCUUUCCUUUCCAGGGGCCAGCCAGUUGGUUUUAAACUAGAGCCGCCUCCUCCUCCCAAGAUGCAGGUGGAUGAAAGCAAGACCAUAGCAGGAGCUUCCAGCCAAGCAAGAUGGAGCAAGGUCAAAGGCACACUGGAGGGAAUUCUGCUUUCCUUUAGCAUCCUAAGAAGAUAGGUCGUUAUUUCCAGGGCCACUGCUAACCUUUUGAGAUACUCAGAAGAAACAGCUAAGGCAACUACAGCAUCAUUGAGCCAAGAAAAAAAAAUCACCCCGUCUUUUCUCCAGACAGAUAAAACUCCUGCGGAGAGACAAGGCUUGAUGAGUAGAGAGCAAACUCAAUUCACCCCAAUUCACUUGUUCAUCCAGGUACUCUGAUUAUUUCGAAUCCUUGGGCCAAUAAAUUCCAGAGGUUCCAGAAGGGACAUCCAUAAUGGUGGGAGAGGCACGGCAGCAGGUGGCCAAAGCAGGAAGCUGAGCGGCUGGAGGGAUGACUCAGGGGUUAGGAACACUCACUGCUCUUCCAGAGGACUCAGGUUCAAUUCCCAGCAACCACAUGGCAGCUCACAUCUGUCCAGUUUCAGGAGACCAGACACCCAUAGCAAAAAAAAAAAAAUCAAUGGACAUAAAAAUAAAAUAAAAUAUUAAAUAAAAAAGCAGGAAGCUGAGAGAUCAAAUCUGUUAUGAUUUAUUACACGGGGCAGGGGAGGGGCGAGGGUACCCUGAGCAUGCAGGGAAACAUGCUGGCAUGCUGGGCAGAUGCAACUGCUGGCUGGCGGGAGAUCCAGCCCAUGUAGGCAUGGCGGUGGGAUGGUGGCGGUGGGACAGUGGGUGGACAUUCACAUCCCAGAUGCUGCAUCUGAGAGGAAACGGUUUAUUGUAAUAGAGAGAUGAAGAGGCAGAAAGAUGAGAGAGAGAGAGAGAGAGAGAGAGAGAGAGAGAGAGGAAGAGAGAGGAGGGGUACACACCUUGUGGGAGGAAAAGCAGAAGGAGAGAGAAAGAGUGUUGGAGACCGACUCCGGACAGCUGUGUCUUGAAUUUUGUGUGACCUUCCUUACUUUAUCAAACCUUGCAAAAACAGGUUCCUGGCCUAACCGCGGGCUGUACAACUUCCUGGAGUACGUGCUAAUCAGCCAGCUGCAGGGGCCUGGGACCAAAGCGACCUCACCCUUCCUUAGGAAUUUUCCAUUCUUCUCUCCUUUUGCUUCCCCUGCUCCCCCUCCCUGCCUGAAGCCCUGCUUAUAAGCCUCAAUACCCAGUCAAUAAACGAGACCUUGACGUGACUCAGACUGACUCUGUCUUCCCUUAUGCGCCUGGUCUCCUUUCUCUCUCGCCCCCAUUGAUCUUUCAGGAGGUGCCUCCUCGGGUCUCCCCAAUA